rnacentral:rRNA from 1 species
GGGAACUGGGGGCGAGCGGAGGCGGUAAUACGGGGGGGGGAAGGGUUAAGUGGAAUGACUGGGCGUAGAGCGAACGCAGGCGGGUAAGUAAGUCAGAUGGGAAAGCCCCGAGCUUAACGUGGGAAUUGCAUCUGAGACUGGGUGGCUAGAGUCUUGUAGAGGGGGGGAGAAUUCCGCGUGUAGCAGUGAAAUGCGUAGAGAUGUGGAGGAAGACCGGUGGCGAAGGCGGCCCCCUGGACAAAGACUGACGCUCAGGUGCGAAAGCGUGGGGAGCAAACAGGAUUAGAUACCCCAGUAGUC